AUCCGAAUGGAGAAGAAAAAGGAAGGGGACGCAGCUGAUCAGAAAAGACGCCAUCUCACUGCCACCCGAGUUCUCCCUACCUGUGUAUACAUCACUGCAGUGAUGACAUGCCUAUAUAUCCAAAUCAGCGUUGCAGCCAAUCACCCCAAGACCUGAAGUUCAUGUCCACCUGAAGUCCAUGUGACAAAACUUUUGCAAGCUCAUCACCCUGAACUCCACCAUGGCACACAGGCCUGACACUCCAACCAG